rnacentral:rRNA from 1 species
AUGGCGGAGCUCAAGAGCCGGCGGGUGAUCCUCAAGGACUACGUGGAGGGCUACCCCACGGAGGCGCACAUGGAGCUGCUCCCCGCCGCGCCCGUCGACGAGGCCGAGGAGGGCUCGGUGCUGGUCAAGAACCUCUACCUCUCCUGCGACCCCUACAUGCGCCCCAAGAUGUCCCGCCCGCUGCACCAGUCCUACACCGCCGCCUUCGUCCCGGGCGCCGCCAUCACCGGUUACGGCGUGUCCCAGGUCGUCCGCUCCUCGCGCCCCGGGCUCGCCGCCGGCGACCUCGUCUGGGGCAUGACCGGCUGGGAGGACUACAGCGUCAUCAAGCCGCCCUUCACGGCCAUACUCACCAAGAUCCAGCCCGACGACGGCGUGCCGCUGUCCUACUACACCGGCAUCCUCGGCAUGCCGGGGCUCACGGCCUACGUGGGAUUCCACCACAUCUGCUCCCCCAAGGCCGGCGAGACGGUGUUCGUCUCCGCGGCCUCCGGCGCCGUCGGCCAGCUCGUCGGCCAGUUCGCCAGGCUCCUCGGCUGCCACGUCGUCGGCAGUGCGGGCUCCAAGGAGAAGGUGGACCUACUCAUCAACAAGUUCGGCUUCCACGACGCCUUCAACUACAAGGAGGAGGACGCCGACCUCGCCGGCGCGCUCAAGAAGCGCUUCCCCGACGGCAUCGACGUCUACUUCGAGAACGUUGGCGGCAAGAUGCUCGAGGCCGUGCUGCUCAACAUGAAGGUGCACGGACGCAUCGCCGUCUGCGGCCUCAUCUCCCAGUACAACCUCACCGCCGGCGAGAAGGACGCCGACGUCGGCGUGCGCAACCUCACCUCCCUCGUCUCCAAGCGCAUCAAGAUGCAGGGCUUCAUCGAGCCCGACCACAAGCACCUCUACCCGGAGUACAUGGCGUGGGUGCUCCCGCACAUCAAGGAGGGCAGGGUCGUCUACGUCGAGGACGUCGCCGACGGGCUCGACGCCGCGCCCGCAGCGCUCAUCGGCCUCUACCACGGCCGCAACGUCGGCAAGCAGGUCGUCAGGCUCACCAACCCCGACCCCAAGUGA